GGGGUAUUUAGGGUCAGAGGUGACAGGGAUUGGUUUGCACAAUCAAAUCCAGACGAUGUUUUGUGGAGUUUGUAAAAAGAGAAAACAGAAACGACUGAACUGAACGCGAGCCUCUCGUUGGGCCCAAGAACUCUUUCUGUAUGUCUGUCUCAAGGCCUUCCAGGCUCCUUUUCUACUUCAUCCAUUCCUGUUUCUGUUUCUGUGGACGAGGACCAUGAAUGAGACGGUCUCAGAGCUCUGAUUCCUCCAGAACUAUUUAAUGACUGAACUCUGACGGUGUGCCUCCAGCGUAGAGAUGCCAUGAAUGACACACUCACACUUAGACUAAUGAGCACGAAGCAGGAGCAUUGUCAGAUCAUUUAGAAGUUUUGACCUAUUUUUCACAGGCUGCUGUGAUUAAUACGAUUCAGACAAACUUGCCGAACCAAAGCAAGUGAGCUCCACCUGUCGACUAAACACAGCACUUACCCUAUCUCCUGGUUCUAGAAGUGAAACCUCAAACCUGCUGCUAACCUCUCAGCUCCUCCACAACGAGCACUUUGACAAUCUGUCCCCAGUCUGGGGAAGGAGACCCCACAGACCAGCCGAGUCCACCAGAAUGUGUUCCAUCACCUGGCAGUGGCAUCACUUCCUGUUCAGGCCCUGGUGAGUCCGACUGCCCCCUGGUGGGACACGGCGUCCUGCCGUCUACAGAACCAGCGCUGUUUGGCUCCGGGAUGUCCGGCUGCUUCCCGUAGUUGAAUCAACGGAGCCGGUUUGUGCAUGAAAGGACCUCUGUGGUGACAAACACGACGCUGUUGUACUUUUAAAGUAACCCGACCAACAACCAGCUGUGAAAAACAGCUAGUUGUCCAGUGGAAGUCUAGUUCAGCUCCGUCAGUGUUGUCCCAUGUCCAGUGAGUCUCCUGCUGUGCCAAAAAUCCCUGUAGAGGGCGCCGUUUUGUCCACCAGGGGGCGAUGCUCUCAGAGCCACAAACAGCUGGACUGACUGGGAAACCACACUAUUGCAAACUGCCUCAUUUUAUUCUGUCCAAAGGGGCAAAAAAGAGAAAAAAACUACAAAAAAAGACUUAUGGGAAACUUCUUCUCAUGGUUCGAUUAGCAUCAACAUACACUUACAAGCUCUGUUUGUUAGCAUGUUUCUGAGACAGUUCCGAUUGUUCUGAUGCUGUCAGGAGGAGGAGGAGGAGGAGAGAAUCAUCACAACACAAGGAACUUCCCCUCAAGAGACUCAACUCUCCCUUCAUCCCCAUCCCUCCUCUCCACGUCUGGUUUGUCCACUGCCGGUCUCAGGCGACACCUUCACUGGUCACUGUUUCUGUUGUUGUUUUCCGCUGUUGUUCAGACGAGACAUUGAUUCCUGAUGUUGAAGUUGCUUCUUGUGUUUCUGCUCUGCUAUAAGCUUUCUGCUGUUGAGGACGAGUCCUUCAAAGGGGUUGAAGAGAGGAAGGUUUGGGUGGACGUCCAGGGGCAGCGGUUCUCAAUCUGGGGUUUGGGAUGCCAAAGGGGUCCAAGGGAAAGACUGAGGGGUAAUCUGCAGUAGAUGAGGUAUUUUAGUCGUGCUGGCUCACUGUAUGGACGAUUAGUAGGCUGGUCAGCCCCAGGUUUGGUGGAAAUAUCUCAACAACAGGAUGAAUUACUGCUGAAUGUCACUUAGGGAUGAAUCCUGCUGAUUCUGGUGACCUCCUACAUGUUUAUAGGACAGUUUGGCUUCAACUGAAACACCUCAAGAACCUUUGGAGGUUUUUCAUGUGCCCUUCAAGAUGAGUUUAAUUAGGAAACUCUAGUAGACUGUAGAUUCUUGGUAAAGUUGAGGGCUGCCAAACACUCUUUUGAGUUUUUUGCAGCUCUCAACUUUACCAAGAAACUACAGUCUACAUAUCUACACUAGCGUUCUGAAGUUUGGGGUCACCCAGACAAUUCCAUGUUUUCCAUGAAAACUCCCACUUUUCUCCAUGUGCUAACAUAACUGCACAAGGGUUUUCUAAUCAUCAAUGAGCCUUUCAACACCAUUAGCUAACACAAUGUAGUAUUAGAACACAGGAGUGAUGGUUGCUGGAAAUGUUCCUCUGUACCUCUAUGGAGAUAUUCCAUUAAAAAUCAGCUGUUUCCAGCUACAAUAGUCAUUUACCACAUUAACAAUGUCUACACUGGAUUUAUCAUUCAUUUCAUGCUAUUGUCAUUGGAAAAAUCUGCUUUUCUUUCAACAAUAAGGACAUUUCUAAGCGAUUUUAAGCUUUUGGACAGUGGUGUACGUGUUAAACAGUGCAAAUUUAACUGACAGACUGGCUGAUCCGCUGACAGUAAAACGUCCAAACCAGAUCUCAACGCUGAUUCCAGCUUAUAAGAACAGAAGAUGUUGGUUUAUUUUCAGGGUCAGGAGCCUCAUUGGUUGGAACCGCUGCUCUUGGGGGUAAAAUGGGUUUUAUUUCACAUCCAUUAGACCAAAUGACAUCACAUUCCUACAUGACAAUCACAUCGGUGUAAAAUCAUUUCCUAGUAAGUUCUCUAACACCAGAUUAUCUGGAGGUUAGUUUGGAUCUGAGGCUCUUUACAGGCACAGGGAGGGUUGUUCCCGCUGUGAAAUGGAGGGCAGCGCUGGGAUAGAGCUGAAUGCUGAAUGGUGGAGGAUGGACGGCGGGCCAGGGAAGCAGCAGCUCUCCAUCUGGACGCCUCCCCAGCGGCUGCCCAGCGCUCAGACCGGCCCGGGAAACUAGGCCACUGAACUCUGUCUGCUCUCCCCGGCUUUUUUUCUUUCCCUUUUUUGUAGAUUAAACCCAAAAGGCUCAACUCCCCCACCUCCUGGCCACAGAGCUCUGAACCGGCACUGGACCUGGCGGCUAACGGCCUCAUUCACACAAACACUGCAGAUAAUCACAGGACCUGUGCCUAAUUCACAGCCCUCAUUACCUCUGGGACUGCUUGCUCUGAGUGGACGAUCCUGGCGUGUGAUGUCAUCAGAAACAGGUGUUCAGUAGGGUAGAGGCGGUUUCCAUGGCAACAGUGAAACCUCUCCUCCUCCCCGUCUGUCUCUCCUCUGCUGGUCGAAGCCAGGGACAGAGACUCGGCAUGACGGCAGAAAUCUGAACGACAUGGAUCCCAGCGGGGUCCACAUUUAAAUAGUAAAUAAGCUGAUUGAUCCAUUAACCCUUUGAGCUCGGCCUGGAACACAUUGCACUUGUAGAUCUGGGGAUGCCGUCACGUCAUUCAGCAGCUGUUUGGGAACCGAGAAUAAUUAUAUAUAUGAAAAAUCAUCCUCAGUCUCUAAAAUGUCUGAUUAAAGUCUUAUUUUUUCAUCUAACAUUGUAAAUGUGGUACGGGCUCCUGGAGGUGUGGAAGUAAAACCCUCCAGGACGCUAAACCUGUCAGCUGGCAGCACAAAGGGUUAAUGACGAGACUAAGGCCACGCAAGGCCAGUUCCAAGUUACAUUUUUGCACAUUUGUGAGAUAUUAUGUCAGUAUUUUAAUUUUUCCAAGUGCCUUUUUAUUAUAGGUAAAUAUAGAAGUUCUACACUAUAUGAAAAAGUGAUUAUAUGAAAAUAUAUUUUUCCUGGCGACAUGUUCUGUGGUUGAACAUGCAGAAUUUUAGAGUUGUAAAAGUCUCCAAUUGGUACAACAUAGCAGCGUUCUCCUGUUUUAGAGGAAUUUUAUUACAAUAUUGAUAAUAAUGUCAAUGAAACAAAAACGUUUAAUAAAGAUGCAUUUGAUACGCGCCUUUUCAUUUGUGGACCAAAUAUAUGUAGAUUCACAACACAUUCACAUCACCUUCAUUAACAUUAAUGGGUUAGGGUUAAUUAGGGUUAAUAUUUAUGAGGAACAGGAACCAGGUCUGAGGAUUCUCUCUGGUCUUUGGGUUUAUAUUCUAGUCAGGAGGUCAGAUUUAGAUUACAGACCAGUAUGGAGACAACUUGUCUGCUGAAGAACGUCAACUAGAUAAUAUCUAAUCAUAAUCAGCAGCAUUUGGCUUUCUUAGGGUCGUAUUAGGGCCUAAACAUGUUGACAGUCUCAGACAGAAGCAAACAGGAACAAGAAUCAGAGGUGAUAAUCUGAGGUGAUCUAUAGGUACUACAACUUGAUUUAAGGAGACCUGCAUGAUAUCCUGGGAAGUCUUCCAUUGACGGCUGCAAGGAAAUACUUCAAUAAGAGGAAAGAGGAAUUUUUCCAUCACAAUAUUCAACAAGUUUCCAUCAGGACUUCGAGCAGCUAACAUAUACAAACAAAUAUCUCAACAACAGGAUGAAUUACCCCUGAAUGCCACUUAGGGAUGAAUCCUGCUGAUUCUGGUGACCUCCAACAUGUUUAUAGGACAGUUUGGCUUCAACUGAAACAUCGACAAUCUUUGGAGGUUUUUCAGAGAUGUUCUUGUGCCCUUCAAGAUGAGUUUAAUUAGAAAAUGCUAGUAGACUGUAGAUUCUUGCUAAAGUUCAGGAUAGUAGCUCUCUUUCGAGUGUUUUGCAGCCCUCAACUUUACCAAGAAUCUACAUAUCUACACUACUGUUAAGAAGUUUGGGGUCAUCCAGACCAUUGUUCCGUCUAAGCUGCGCGCGUGCGCAAUUGCGCACUGCUGACACGGUCUCCGCGCACAGAAAAUCUGCGCUGCGCACAAAAAAAAAAUCCAACCUAAAUUUUAAAUAAAAUAAACAUGCAACAAUUCAUUCUGUGCUACUUUUCAGUGUGAGUCAGUGAGUGACCGGUGACUGGCUGCUGCAGCCAAUGAUGCGAUUCACAUACGUAUUUACCAUAGACUGUAUAUAAUGGUAUUUACGCAGCUAAUCAAAGUCAGGCGUCCUUAUGUGCAGCCACAGUUGUUCUCAUAGAUAUGAAUGAGUAGAUAGGACACGCCCCUUUGAGCUGCGUGCUACAGCGAGGCUAAGCUAGUGGGGGAAAAGUUUCAGUGCAUUCCGUUGAUGUAGACGGCGUGAAAACGGAAACAACAAGAAUGCCGUUUCACUGUGCUGCAUACAGUUACACACUACGUCGUACGAUUGAGACAAGGAAACUUGGAAUGACUUUUCAUAGGUAAGAAUAGUUUUUGGCUCUUUUUUCAUUAUGAAAUCUUGUUGAGAGCUUCCAGUCUAUGAGAGCUAACUAGUUAGCCACUAGCAAAACGCUAAGGCGAGCUAGCAGCUUGACAAGCAAAUACCAGACGAUUAAUAGUAGCUGUAGUAUAGUUGUACAAGCAGUAGUAGUAAUACUAAAAGUACAAGCAGCAGUAGUAGUAUAAACAGCUGUUAGAGUUGUAGAAGUAGUAUCAGCAUUUGUAAUAGUAUUACAAGUUGUAGUAGCAGUGCCAGUAUCAGCAGCAGCAGUAGUGUACUAUCACUACUACUAGUAGUAGUCACAUUGCUAUUACUACCACCAAUACUACCAAUAGUAGUUAUAAAGCCUAACUCAUAUAUAUCCAGAUUACCAUCUAUGUUCUUCCUCCAAACCCAUUUUAUGAUUGGGAUUACAGGCAGUUCUUUAGGACUGCUCUCAAAUAAUUGAAAUGUUACUAAACAAGGUUAUACUUGUCAAAUUAAAUAGCUCUGGUCUCCAGUAUAUUGGCGAAUUCGGUUCUUUGUACUUAAUUUAUUAGCAUGAUUUCUUUUUAAUAUGUUGUGUACAGACUUAAUUACUUCUCUGUCUACUUUUCUUACUCCAUGUAGGUUUCCCAGAGACUAUGGGUUGAGGAGGAAUUGGAAGUUUGUCGGCUUAGACCUGGUGUCAUUCCAUCAGUGUUAAACUUCCCGGCUCAUCUUGGAAGAGUACGUGCCAGAAAGACCACGACCAAGCAGCCUUGAGAUCUUAGACAGCGUCUCCCUGAGGUCCCUCUCUAUCUCCCCACACAUCCACCAACCACUAGAACACAUCUCCAAAGUUCUGCUGGACCAGCUCAGCUUCCCCUCAGAAGAAGUGCCGCCACCUGCCAGAUGAAGGAGCCUUUUGAGAGGCAGCUGGCAUCGUGAUUGGACUGUACUUUGGUCUGUUCCAAUCCAGCUUCAGCUCCAGAGACGGCAGGCGGGACGAGUCAACGGAGGCCGGGUGGAUGAAGACAUGCAGCUGAGUACAAUCCAGAAAACAACAGAGGAGGAGUGCAGCAGCCCAGAGCCAGAACAACCAGAGUAGCAUCACCAAAGAACUACAGACUCUUCACAACCUGCUCAAACUCUUGGUACAGGACCUCACCACACGAGUCAAGAAGGUUUCCUUCUCAUUUCUACUCUGAAGCUCACCUUCUCCUGCUCAAACUGCUGACAAAUGUUUCUGCUGCUCUAAAGUCUGGUCUCCAGAACUUCCUAAAAACUCUCAAAGUCUCUUCUGCUGCAGGUUGCUGUGUAGAACUGUUCCAGAAAACCUCACUAAACCACAUGGAGGGGCCUCAAGAUAGUCGUCCAAAUGAAACCGUACAAAAACCAAACUAGUACAACCCAAACGCUAAAGUCUCCUGCAGCCUACCAGAGAACCUCUGAGAACAGAGAAUCAGGACAGGAACUCUUACCUUCUGGACAACCAACGCUGGUUCACAAACAAGAAUACAGAAUGUGUCUGACCAAAAACCUCUGAAGACUCACUACAGCCAAGAUAAAGACACAACUCACCUGCAUCAAACCCACUAAUCACUGCACACAUUAGCACCAGGUGCUAACUGCGGCUAAAGAACCACAUUUACCAAGACAACUAUCCAGUACAAAGCCCUAAAACACACCAAGAAACACAUUAAAGAUGAUUUUACUGCUGGAAGCUGCAAGCCAACGCCUAAAGAACAAACUGAAGCAACAGAGCCAAACCCAGUUCACUGGUGAAGAGAACCAGAGGAAAUGUUUGUCUGCAGCUAAACAAAGCAGGAAGACACUGAGCUGCUCAGGUGUUCCUGAUAACACCUAGCAGCCACCUGGACAGCCAAUAGGAACACAGCUUCCUGGAAGUCCAGAGGGCUGGCUUAGUCAAGGAAAUUUAGUUUAAAGUUGAAGCAGAAAGUUAACAAAGAAAGUUGAAAACCACCUUCUGAUCCCUGAAAUCUCUGAGUUUUCACACAAAGAACACCUGAACAUGUCAAACUGGUUCCAUAGUAGAACCAUCAUUGUAAAAACGUCAUAGUAUGGUGUGUUGCUCAAAAAACAUUAGGACCCGGCUGUCAGGGGACAAACAUGUAAGAAACAUGAGAACAGAGAGAAUCCAACCAGUAGGUCACAGUUUAUUAUCAUCUAAUCAUCUCCUGAAGUCCAUAUGGUGAGAGACAUCAGUAUCUGGUUGUUCAUUUACCAGAGGAUGCUUAUAAUCAUGCUGAUGUGGUCUGUACUCUACAGUAUUUUAGUGACUCAAUAAAUGCCUAAGUUGUUUUUUUAAAAUGCUUUGUAGUUUUUAAUAAACAUUUAAUAGCCUAUAUGUAAUCAAUAAAUGGCCUUUGUCUAUCUUAAGAAAAACUCACUCAGAACUCUGAUAUGUUAACAGUACUAAAUAAAUCAAUAA